rnacentral:rRNA from 1 species
CUCCCAGACUCCUACGGGAGGCAGCAGUGGGGGAUAUUGCACAAUGGGGGGAACCCUGAUGCAGCGACGCCGCGUGGGUGAAGGAGUGCUUCGGCAUGUAAAGCCCUAUCGGCAGGGAAGAAGCAAGACGGUACCUGACUAAGAAGCCCCGGCUAACUACGUGCCAGCAGCCGCGGUAAUACGUAGGGGGCAAGCGUUAUCCGGAUUUACUGGGUGUAAAGGGGGCGCAGACGGCGAUGCAAGCCAGGAGUGAAAGCCCGGGGCCCAACCCCGGGACUGCUCUUGGAACUGCGUGGCUGGAGUGCAGGAGGGGCAGGCGGAAUUCCUGGUGUAGCGGUGAAAUGCGUAGAUAUUAGGAGGAACACCAGUGGCGAAGGCGGCUUACUGGACUGUAACUGACGUUGAGGCUCGAAAGCGUGGGGAGCAAACAGGAUUAGAUACCCGAGUAU